rnacentral:hammerhead_ribozyme from 1 species
AUUCAACUGACGAGUCCCAAAUAGGACGAAACACACGUCCUGGAU